GUAGGGCGCAAGCGUUGUCCGGAAUUAUUGGGCGUAAAGAGCUCGUAGGCGGCUUGUCACGUCGGAUGUGAAAGCCCGGGGCUUAACCCCGGGUCUGCAUUCGAUACGGGCUAGCUAGAGUGUGGUAGGGGAGAUCGGAAUUCCUGGUGUAGCGGUGAAAUGCGCAGAUAUCAGGAGGAACACCGGUGGCGAAGGCGGAUCUCUGGGCCAUUACUGACGCUGAGGAGCGAAAGCGUGGGGAGCGAACAGGAUUAGAUACCCUGGUAGUCCACGCCGUAAACGUUGGGAACUAGGUGUUGGCGACAUUCCACGUCGUCGGUGCCGCAGCUAACGCAUUAAGUUCCCCGCCUGGGGAGUACGGCCGCAAGGCUAAAACUCAAAGGAAUUGACGGGGGCCCGCACAAGCAGCGGAGCAUGUGGCUUAAUUCGACGCAACGCGAAGAACCUUACCAAGGCUUGACAUAUACCGGAAAGCAUCAGAGAUGGUGCCCCCCUUGUGGUCG
rnacentral:rRNA from 1 species